rnacentral:rRNA from 1 species
AUUGAACGCUGGCGGCAUGCCUUACACAUGCAAGUCGAACGGUAACGCGGGGCAACCUGGCGACGAGUGGCGAACGGGUGAGUAAUGUAUUGGAACGUGCCCAGUUGUGGGGGAUAACUGCUCGAAAGAGCAGCUAAUACCGCAUACGACCUGAGGGUGAAAGCGGGGGAUCGCAAGACCUCGCGGAAUUGGAGCGGGCGAUAACAGAUUAGGUAGUUGGUGGGGUAAAGGCCUACAAAGCCUACGACCUGUAGCUGGUCUGAGAGGACGACCAGCCACACUGGGACUGAGACACGGCCCAGACUCCUACGGGAGGCAGCAGUGAGGAAUUUUGGACAAUGGGGGCAACCCUGAUCCAGCCAUGCCGCGUGCGGGAAGAAGGCCUUCGGGUUGUAAACCGCUUUUGUCAGGGAAGAAAUCCUUUGAACUAAUACUUCGAAGGGAUGACGGUACCUGAAGAAUAAGCACCGGCUAACUACGUGCCAGCCGCCGCGGUAAAAC